GAUGAACGCUGGCGGCGUGCUUAACACAUGCAAGUCGAACGAAGCACUUUAUUUGAUUUCCUUCGGGACUGAUUAUUUUGUGACUGAGUGGCGGACGGGUGAGUAACGCGUGGGUAACCUGCCUUGUACAGGGGGAUAACAGUUGGAAACGGCUGCUAAUACCGCAUAAGCGCACAGCAUCGCAUGAUGCAGUGUGAAAAACUCCGGUGGUAUAAGAUGGACCCGCGUUGGAUUAGCUAGUUGGUGAGGUAACGGCCCACCAAGGCGACGAUCCAUAGCCGACCGGAGAGGGUGACCCACCACAUUGGGACUGAGACACGGGUCAAACUCCUACGGGAGGCAGCAAAGGGGAAGAUUGCACAAUGGGCGAAAGCCUGAUGCAGCGGCGCCGCGUGAGCGGAGAAGUAUUUCAGUAUGUAAAGCUCUAACAGCAGGGAAGAUAAUGACGGUACCAGACUACGAAGCACCGGCUAAAUACGU
rnacentral:rRNA from 1 species